rnacentral:tRNA from 1 species
GUUUUGGUAGCUUAUAGUUAGAGCGUAGCAGUGAAGUUGCUUAGGAGGAAGCGGUUCCCCAAAAUA